rnacentral:rRNA from 1 species
CCUGGUUGAUCCUGCCAUUAGUCAUAUGCUUGUCUCAAAGAUUAAGCCAUGCAUGUCUUAGUGCAAGCCAAAUUAAGGUGAAACCGCGAAUGGCUCAUUAAAUCAGUUAUGGUUCCUUAGACCGUACCCACAUUUACUUGGAUAACUGUGGUAAUUCUAGAGCUAAUACAUGCAAACAGAGUCCAGACCGGAGACAGGAAGGACGCUUUUAUUAGAUCAAAACCAAUUGGCCGGCUCGCCCGGUCCGUUUGCCUUGGUGACUCUCUCAAUAACUUUGAGCCGAUCGCAUGGUCUCCGUACCGGCGACGCGUCUUUAAAAUGUCUGCCUUAUCAACUGUCGAUUGUAGGUUCUGCGCCUACCAUGGUUGUAACGAGUAACGGGGAAUUAGGGUUUGAUUCCGGAGAGGGAGCCUAAGAAAUGGCUACCAUAUCCAAGGAAGGUAGCAGGCGCGCAAAUUACCCACUCCCAGCACGGGGAGGUAGUGACGAAAAAUAAUGAUACGGGACUCAUCCGAGUUCCCGUAAUCGGAAUGAGUACACUUUAAAUCCUUUAACGAGUAUCCAUUGGAGGGCAAGUCUGGUGCCAGCAGCCGUGGUAAUUCCAGCUCCAAUAGCGUAUAUUAAAGUUGUUGCGGUUAAAAAGCUCGAAGUUGGAUCUGUGUCCCACGCUGUCGGUUCACAGCCCGUCUGUGCUUAACUGGCACGCCUGUGCGGACGUCCUGCUGGUCGACGCGGCCGGGGCGGUAAGCGUGGCCUCCAGGCCCGCCCCACUACCGGCGGUCCAAUCAAAUCCUACCGCGGUGCUCUUAACCGAGUGUCGAGGUGGGCCGGCACGUUUACUUUGAACAAAUUAGAGUGCUUAAAGCAGGCAGUGUUAGCCUGAAUACUGUGUGCAUGGAAUAAUGGAAUAUGACCUUGGUUAUAUUUUGUUGGUUUUAGGAAUUUGAGGUAAUGAUUAAUAGGGACAGACGGGGGCAUACGUAUUGCGACGUUAGAGGUGAAAUUCUUGGAUCGUCGCAAGACGAACCUAAGCGAAAGCAUUCACUAAAAUUCUUCGAGCCAGACACGCAUUCGAUUUGAAAUUGAUCGUUGGGAAAAUUCGCCUUUCGGGGGGCAUAUGUCCCCCCGGUCGUAUCUCCUCAACUAGGCAUGAUGGAGAGUUCAAUUCUUCGUUUAAUUCGUUUGUGUUUUAGGCACCUUCGAUAACUUUGUGUUUAAUGCGGCCAUAGCUUGUCCCAAGCCAGGUUGAGAAACACAGAGGAACGGAGUAUAUAAUUAUAUAUGGUAUGAUAAACACGGACCAAAAGAAAAUGAAUGCAUUUUUUUUUUUUUAGUCUUGCCACACCGGUGAGCCUGCCGCGUUGGCGACGAGGCUCACGAAGUUUCGAUGGCUCACCACCUGGUGUUUUCCCUAAUCAAGAACGAAAGUUAGAGGUUCGAAGGCGAUCAGAUACCGCCCUAGUUCUAACCAUAAACGAUGCCAGCUAGUGAUCCGCCGAAGUUCCUCCGAUGACUCGGCUGGCAGCUUCCGGGAAACCAAAGCUUUUGGGUUCUGGGGGAAGUAUGGUUGCAAACCUGAAACUUAAAGGAAUUGACGGAAGGGCAUCACCAGGAGUGGAGCCUGCGGCUUAAUUUGAAUCAACACGGGAAACCUCACCAGGCCCGGACACCGGAAGGAUUGACAGAUUGAUAACUCUCUCUUGAUUCGGUCAGUGGUGGUGCAUGGCCGUUCUUAGUUGGUGGAGCGAUUUGUCUGGUUAAUUCCGAUAACGAACGAGACUCUAGCCUGUUAGCUUGUCAUCGCGGUAUCCUUAGCGCUACCGGCGACACAUUAUCUUCUUAGAGGGACAGGCGGCUUCUAGCCGCACGAGAUUGAGCAAUAGCAGGUCUGUGAUUCCCUUAGAUGUUCUGGGCCGCACGCGCGCUACACUGAAGGAAUCAGCGUGUCCUCCCUGUCCGAACGGACCGGGUAACCCGUUGAACCUCCUUCGUGCUAGGGAUUGCAACAAACAGGUCAAGUCCACACCAUCCACACCAAUCUUGGAAGUUUUACUCAAGAAACCAACGUUAUUCGGGUGACAUACGCUCUUCUUCUAGAUAAAAAAAAAAGAAAACUUAUAGUAGGCUAUUUAAAACGAGUAAUGAUA